AUUAUAUUAACAUUUUACCAAAAUGAAGCUCGUUUAACUGCAUGUUUAUUCCUUACAUAAAUUAAACGCAAAGCAUGUAGGGGUUCUACAUGCAUAUAGUAUUUGCACAAUCAAUAACCUAUUAGAGUAAUACAUUGUGGUAUAUAAACUGAACUUUGUGUUUGAUGUGUCUACAGUGUCCAAAGCCCGUGGUGGUGGCAGUGCAUGGCGUUUGUGUGGAAGCAGGAGUGGCUCUAAUCACAGCCUGUGAUAUUCGUCUGUGCACACAGGAUGCCUGGUUUCAGGUGAAGUCGUGUGUUCCCUGAUAGUCAAUGAUUGCUGGAGCUCUGGAAAUAGCAGGUGAGAUUGCAGGCCAGAGUCCCGUUGCUGUCCAGGGAACCAAAAUCAACCUCCUCUACUCCUGAGACCACAGUGUAACUGAGAGCCUAGACUACAUGGUAAGAAUCUGCUUAAGACAUGAAUAGCAUUUUUAGCCUCAAGGCUACUUGGAACAUGAACAUGUUGCAGACACAGGAUCUUAUGAAGUCAGCGCAGACAGCCCCGGAAAAGAAGAGCCCGAAAGACGUGCCCUUCUCCAAGCUUUAAAGGAGAAGAUCCAGGGCUGUUGAAGCUGUGGUGGAACUGAGACUUCAUCAUCCACAUAUCUUUAAUUCUUCUUGCUAAGUCUCAGUUUCUUUUUAGUCUUUUUAUUUUUAGACUGGUCAAAAGACUGAUUAGUGGAAGUGAAAUGAUGGAUGAACUUUUAAUUACUUGCUUUAUUAUUUGCAGGUGCUUUGUACAGUAAGACAGGGUAACUAAUACUCAAAAGCUUGUUUUGUGUGUUAACAUGUACAGUAGAUGUACAUAUUUUUUCUGGUCCUGUGUGACUGCAGAAUGUAGUGCAGUUAACACAUUAAAUUUCCUUGGAUGCUCACUUUUAACUCGAGGAGGUCACAGUUUGCCCAGACAUCUUUUUUUAAAUCCGUCAAUCCGUCACCCACGUGUCAUUCUGGGGGACGAAGAGGAGGAAGCUGGACAGAUAAAUUUAUUUAUUUAUCUAUCAUUGCUGUGUUUCCUCAAUCGAGUGCAGAAAGAAGAAAAACAACACAACUGAUUUAAAAUAAAAAUAUAGAAAACAAUCUAAUGUAAGGUUCUGAUCCGGUUUGCUUUCAGCAGGAAGGCUGUCCUCUUUCCUGUUGCUCUUUCUCUUCUAUUAGUCCAUUUGUCCAGUCUGAAUCAGUUUGAUUGUUUGAUUCGUUUCGAGACGAUUCGGAGUCAAAUAAUUUUCUAGUGAGAGUCGCACACUUCCAAAUGAACUAGACUGAGAUGUGUAUUUGAUUCUCACUAGAAAGUGAUUUGACUCUGAAUCAAUUCGAAAUGAAUCAGUCAAACUGAUUCAGACUUGAUAAAAGGACUAUGAGAUGUGAUUAAGAUAUAUAUUCCAAUGUUUUGCUUUACAAUUCUAGUGUGUGUGUGUGUGUGUGUGUGUGUGUUUUUCAGGAGAACGAGAAACUCUGACACGAGUACAUCCUGACCAUUGGUACUGUGUACACAUCAACAUACACACACGUCUCCAUGCUGGACAUCUCAGGAGCUUUCACACACAGUGCUAGGAAUAUCCCGGGACAGAGAAACGCACCUCCUAAGUGAGCGAGUUUAGCGUCAACUGGUGAAAUUUGCUGUAGCGUGAACACUUAGGGUUUGCCAGGUUCACUGUAAUUAGACAUAAAAUGUACAUGAUGUUUAUUUUUCAUACAUUUAGGACUUAAGGUUUUUUUUUUUUUUUUUUUUUUUUUUUUUACCCUUCGAGGAACAGAAAUGAUCUUUUGAGGCAGCUUCUUCAUCACUACCUGCUCCGUUUGACUCAAAAAUGUAACGACCGGUUUCAAAAAGUCACGAUGUCUUAAAUAAUAAAUAAAUGAUCAUUCUAGUUCUCUCACUUUCCUUGUCCUAAUUGUCCUGUAUCUGUUAAGUCCGUUUCAUCUGUGGUCUUUGUCUGUAUGAACACUUGUAGAAAUGACAUGUAGUCCAUAUUUUGAAAUGAUUUUAUUCAUGAUUUUGAAUUUAAGUAAAGAUUCUUUAAUUCUGUAUUUUGUCAUUUAAUUAUCAUUAGAAAUCAGAAGAUCAGAUUAAAGCCACGGCUUCUUUACCUGCUGGAGCUGUAAAACUUUCAAUAAACCAGUCAAUAGAUCAACUGAAUAAAUGUAGAUUUUUAAUUUACUGAUGAGAUGUAUUGAUGGUGUUGAUAGAUUAUUUGAAGAUUUUUUUAUUGAUCUUGAACAAUCAUUCAGUUAAAUAUUUCUUUUUUUAAAUCUCGAUAAA